rnacentral:rRNA from 1 species
AUUGAACGCUGGCGGCGUGCUUAACACAUGCAAGUCGAACGAAGUGGCGAACGGGUGAGUAACGCGUAAUCAACCUGCACUUCAGAGGGGGACAACAGUUGGAAACGACUGCUAAUCCCGCAUACUGAAGGAGGGGUUUGCGUCUGAUUAGCUAGUUGGAGUGGUAACGGCCCACCAAGGCGAUGAUCAGUAGCCGGUCUGGGAGAAUGAACGGCCCAAUGGGGAACGAGGACCGGCCCAGACUCCCACGGGAGGCAGCAGUGGGGAAUCGUCCGAAAUUGACGGAAGUCUGACGGAGCAACGCCGCGGGAGUGAUGACGGCCUUCGGGUUGGAAAGCUCUGUUAAUCGGGACGCGGUACCGGAAUAGAAAGCCACGGCUAACUACGUGCCAGCAGCCGCGGUAAUAC